UACGUAGGGUGCGAGCGUUGUCCGGAAUUAUUGGGCGUAAAGAGCUUGUAGGCGGUUUGUCGCGUCUGCUGUGAAAAUCCGGGGCUCAACUCCGGACUUGCAGUGGGUACGGGCAGACUAGAGUGUGGUAGGGGAGACUGGAAUUCCUGGUGUAGCGGUGAAAUGCGCAGAUAUCAGGAAGAACACCUAUGGCGAAGGCAGCUCUCUGGGACGGUACUGACGCUGAGACGCGAAAGCGUGGGGAGCGAACAGG
rnacentral:rRNA from 1 species